CUACUUUCACAUUUCAGAUUGUUUCCUAGAUUCUAAUUUAUCUUCUAAUCAUUAAAACAGGAAUAUAGUUAAUAUUCAUCUGACUUUCAAAAAUUAAAUUUACUGGUUUAACCUUCAUUCCUUUUGUAUUAUUACUGUUAUCUUUGCCAGCACCCAAUGCUCAUUUAUUGGAGUGUGAAAAACAAAAUUGAUGAAAAUUAGUUUUUCUCUCCAUAUCCAGACCUACCCUCGCCAGUUCCAUCAGCUAAAAACACUUUGACUAGGUCUUGUUUGUGUUUGUUUCAACCCUUUCAAACUGCUGGUUCCUGCCCAAUACCUCCCAAGCUGGCUCUCAGGUGCUUGUUUGCCAAAAUAAGCUGACAGCAUCCCUGAAAAUGGAUGGUGUGUUAAGAACUGCCGAGGGGCUCAGCUGGAUCUGGGGCCAGACUGUGAGAGUCAGGAUGAGGGACUGCCAUCCGGACAGGCAGCCCUGCCCUGGACACGGGGGCCUGUCUGCUUGGAUGAGAUGAGAACGGAGGUCUGAGACAGGGCACAAGUGUGGGAGGCAGUAAGGGGAUUAGAAGGAGCAGAGGUAGGGAGCACAAGGAGGAUGUGUGAGCAGUGGGGACAGGGUCCCUGACACAGAGGACAUGAGUGGAAAUGCAGAAAACAAGAAGCAACCAGCCAGAAAAACGGCUGAUAGGAUGCUGGAAAAUAGAAAUGCUUUUAAAAGCCAAUUUCCCAAAAGUGAAUGUGAGGGAAAUUGAGACGUGGGAUGCCCGAAACCAUCUACCUGCAGAGCCGGGAAGGGUUGGCGGACACCCGUGGGGUAGUCACCAUCGUCUGAGAGAGGCAGUGAGUUCUGGGAAGCGUGGGAAGUGAAGAGGUAAGAGAUGAGCAGAAUGGUCUUCGGGGGUGGGGGUGGGGGGUGACAGCCUGGAGAGGGCCGGCCAUUCCUUUACCAGAUCGGCUUGUUAAGCUGACCCAUAAGAGCACCAGCAGCCUGACUUCCAAGACAGCCACCCUGCACGUUGUCUUGAGCCGCCUUUGUGACGGAGCCAUCCCUGCCCCUGGCCCUCCAGGUGCUCACCUUCCUCCGGGAAGGAGGUGGCUGCAUCGUGUGUAAGAGCCAGGGUACCUCGGGGCUGCAGGAGGGCGAAGGCCUUGGAGGUUGGGAAAUGCUGUUCAGGCUGAGACUUGGAAAGGAGGAGAGGGAGCUGCAGCCGAGACUCGAUGGGGCCGUAAAUGCUUGUCUAGAACUGAAGAGGGUACCCAAAGGAGGCUGCGGAAUCCCAGAAUCUAGAGAAUUCAAAGGAGGGUAGGAGCCCAUCCUUCCUGAGUGGCAAAGUCUAGUUUAAAAAAAAAAUCUAACUGGGCAAAGCAUACCUUCCUGGACAAGAGGCAGCCAGAGCGAGUUGAGAGAAAUCAUGAAACCAGUUUUGUUCUAGUGGCUUAUCGGCUACAACUCUUAUGGCCUCCACUGCCUCAGGCUGGAGAUGCUCAUAGAGGUCUGAGUGCCCAAAGGCUCGUGUGGGCACCAGCUCUGGCCCCUCAGGCUAACCACUGGUCUCACCAUGCAGUCACUUCCUUUAACUCUAAAACAGGAAUAAUCAAACUUGGGUCAUAGUAGGAUAAAAUGAAAGGGCCAUGAAAAGUAGAAAGCCCUCUCCCAUUGUGUGGGAACUCCAGGAAAUGGUGCACCCUUGGGAUAUGGCUGAGAGAGGAGGCCCAGCAAACAGCCAUUAUUAUCACUACUGACACACCUCCACAGUGACCAAGGGGGUGCCAAAGACCUACACACCAGGCACCAUCUCGUGCUUCCUAUGAAUUAACCCAGGCCAACUUCACAAUGCAGGCCAGUCAGUAAGCUCCCUGCAGUCAGAGAUCUGAAGAGCACAUUGUAUGGCUGCUGCCAAAGAGGCAGGAUGGAGGGAGGGUGGAAGGAUGCUUGAAUGGAAGGAUGCAUAGAAGGAAAGAUGGGAGCAAAGAAGGAUGCAUGGAUGGAUGGAAGGAAGGAAGGAAGACAUAGGUUGGAAGGAAGGAAAAUGUCGUAUCCAUAGUCCAACCUCUAGCUUACAUUUUGCUCCUCCUGCCAUUGCAGUGUAAAGAAUCAGUAAGACUUUGUUUCUUUUUUUUAAUUAAACAAAAAUUUGUUGAGCACCUGCUACAUCCCUGGUCCACACUCCUACCCUCAAAGAGCUCACUCCUGAAACGGGACAGUGAGAAUUGUCCAUUAAUUAUUCGAAUACCCAGCAGAAGUGGUGAGGGCCCUACACAAGGGGUAAAAUAGACUGGCCGUCUCCAGGAAGGUGUGAUGUCUGCCUGCUGGGAGCUGACCUUAAAGGAUGGGGAGGAAUUCAUGCUGCAGACGGUCCUCCAUUGAACUGCCCUUCCUCCCUUGUGGGAAUUGCAGAUGGUUCCUCUGGUUUGUGUAGUUUCCUUGGAAGUGGAGGGGGGACCUGUGGAACAUGAAGUAGAAAAUGUAGGUUGGGACCUUAUUAUGAACAGCCCUUAAAUAUCAGCAUAAGAAACAUGGAUAUUUUUUUCUGUUGAACACAGAGUAAUUGUAUCCAUAUUUUGGAAUAGUAUGCUGUGGUUAGCAUAUGUACCAACAUGAAUCAAUUUCCGAGACCUAUCAUUUAAUGAAAAAUGCAAGUUGCAGAAAAAUAUGCCCAGUGUGAUAUCACCAGUGGAAAAAUACUACACAAAACAACUGUGUUUGUGUCCUCUGUGGGUCUGAGAGGGCCCACACCAGACUGCCAGCAGCAGUUACCUUUGGGGCAAAAAGAAAGAAUUUGGUUUUGGGGAUGGGAAGUGUUGAAGGAGGAUGUCAACAUUUUUGGUAAUCUUUCAGUUUUACUUUAACAGGGAAAAUGUUAUCUUGCCAUUAAAAUGUAAUUUUAAAAUUCAAAAGAUAAUGGAGUCAUUGGCUUACUUCCUAGCUCUAAAAUUUUCAAUUAGAGCUUGUGCAUUCUGAGAAUUGGGAAGAUAUUCUCUGAAACCAAACAAAAUCCAGGGAUAAAAAAAAAAACGCCUCCCCUCCAAGCGUGCAGAGAGAAGGAACUCCUCAGGCCACUGUAUCACGGGCCUGAGUGGUGUCAUUUGUUUGGUUUAUCAGUGAUCAAUUUCAGGUGAUGAAGGAUGCUCUUGACCCAUGUUGACCUUGCAGAAUCAUUCAGCUUUCUUGCCCAUGACUGGAUUCUACCCUGCGGCAGUGGCUGGCUCCGGGCAGCAGUGAAUGAAGAAGGAGGCAGGACAUCUCUUUUUGUCUCCAGAACAAAGAUGCAGAGUCUCAGCAGUACCAACAGGAUCACACAGGCCACAGUGUGAAGAAUGAAUCACAGAGAGACAAGUUUGAUGCGUGUCGCAUUGUCCAGGUAACUCCACGAUGACGUCUGUCCUUGGGAUCACCAUCUGCUAAGGCAGACCGAAGAGUGGAACAAUGGAGGACACAAAAGAAGCAGCACCGAGGAGGGGACGGACCCCACCACCAUCAGCCGUCCCAGAGACCUCCCUGGCAUGGUGCGGUGGGGCAGCUGGUGUUGUGAAUCAGGCCGUUGCCAAUCAGAGAACGGCUACUUCACAACACCAGGGUCACACCCAACCACAAGCAGCGCUCCAGGCACCAGCGCAGCCAAGCCUCCAAGCAGCUCAUCACACCUCUGAGCCCUUGAGAACCCCAGCCGGGGGCCUCCACGUUCCUCCCGCGGGCUAUUCUGACUCCACUGCAAACACAGGCACCCUGAGGCUAUUUCUUGCCCAACACAAACAGCUCCACUUUUAAAGGAAAAGCCACUCCUGACAGUGUUAGCGUCCUAAUGGUACUACCAGGCUUUCCACUGUGAAAAUGGAGCUAUGGGCCCUCAGAAGGCUAAGUGCCACUAAACUGAACAUUUCCUCCGAGGCUCUAGGAAUAUUCGGCUGUGAACUGGGCCCCUUGUUUUGAUACGUGGGAGUGGUAGCUUUGAAUAGGGCAAAGUGGAGGGAAGGGAGGCCCUAAUUACAAGAUGGUGGCCCUGGGGGACAUGCCUGGAGAGAGGAAGGCCUUUGUAGCCACAUAGAUGGGAACUCCUCUGUUUCCUAGAGGUCCCAAGUUCCCUGGAGAGUAAAUGCCUCUCUUUGAGUGUGAGAGUUCCAUAGCUCCCCAUCAGGCGUGUGUUCCCCCCCGCUGGAUGAGAGCCAAGCACAAGGAGACACUUCCCUGGGUGUCGAUCUGUCGGAUACUCCUGUCCUGGGUUAUGUGACCUGUCACCUGUGCUGACAGAUGGGCUGCCUUUUCCCAUCCCCUCACAGCCGGGACCUGAAGGAGUUGGAAGACUAACUGGGGGUCUCUAGAGUUUGAGUUUUUGUUUUCAUUUUUUAAAGAUUGGCACCUGAGCUAACAUGUGUUACCAACCUUUUUUUUUUUCCUUCUUCUUCUCCCAAAGCCCCCCCACUUCCAGUACCUAGUUGUAUACACCAGUUGUUGGUCCUUCUAGUUGUGGCAUGUGGGACGCAGCCUCAGCAUACCCUGAUGAGCGGUGCCAUAUCCACACCCAGGAUCCGAACCGGUGAAACCCUGGGCCACUGAAGCAGAGUGUGCGAACUUAACCACUUGGCCAUGGGGCCAGCUCCUCGAGUAUCUUUAUGCCCAACUUAAAUCUUAUGUGUGACACCGCCAUAUUUCACAGCCAAGGAAGGAGUUUAAAGAUGGAGUGGCUGGGUUGGCUAGCAUCCUUUCUAUAGCACUAAGAAAGAAGGGGAGCCAUCUCUCCGGCUUUCCAUGAGACAGAGAGAGACCCAGGGCCACUGUGAUUAACCCAGGCUCUGUCUUUGUCACCUCGGUGCUGUGCUCUGCCCUGUAGGAAGCCAGAGGGAUAGACAAAAACAAGCCUGGUGUAAAGAUUGCACAGAACGAGGUUGCAUAGACAAAGCAGCCCUGGGUCUCUGUCACCUUGGAGCUCUGUGAGGUGAGUCUACUUCUUCUGUGAAGUUCUGCUUCUCACCCCAUCCCCAAAUCACUAAGACCUCUCUGAAAUUUGUUCUAAGUUGUGCUUGGGGACAAGUAUGUUUAGAGAUGAGAGAGUCCUAGUUUGUCAGGAAGGUUUUCCUGCCUCCUUAAAACAUAUAAACUGCAUGUCUGAGAAUUCAUCCACUUGCCACUCCUCUACCACCAACAGAGUCCAAGCUAGUACCACCCACGGUGUGGUCCCUGGUGGCAGCAUCAGCAUGUUGGGAAGAUGGAAUCCUAUGCCCCACUGCACACCUGCUGCAUCAAAAUCUUAGGGGAUGGGACGGGGACCAGGGCUCAGGGACUGUGUGUUUACGGACCACCCGCUUUUUCUUCUCCCCAUAUCCUCUUCAGCUUCCCUUCUGACCCCAUCUCUUCUGCCUAUUCCAGCCAGAAGGAUAUUUUCAAAAUGCGUGCCUACAUCAAGUGACUCCCUCUACCCCCUUCCCUAAAACUCCUUAGAGUCAGCCUCACCCUAACGGUAACGUGACCCCAUGAGUGGCGGUAAUGUGACCCCAUGAGUGGCGAGCACUCGCCAGCUCCCUCUCACUGUACUCCCUUCCUCCCUCUGGCACUCUUACCAAGCUCCCUUUUGCCCUGGGGCCCUUGUGCGGCUCAGCCCUGUCUGGAAUGCUCCCAGCCCCACCAUCCUCCCUGUGAUUGCUACCUACCUGUCCUCUAGGUUUCAGACAGAGCACAGCUUCCUGCCAGCCAACUCCCCUGACCUAGAAAGUCACAUCAGGUAAUGUUAGGUGCACUGAGCAAGCUGAGUUCUGCACCUUCAGAGCGUUCAUCUCAUUUUGCCAUUAUGCAUUCAUUAGUGGGAAUCUGUGCUAAAUGUGUGUCUUCCCCACUGGCCAUAUGCUCCUUGAGGGCACGGACACUCAUUCACUACUGCACCCCAACCUAGCUCAGUGUCUGGCAUAAAAUAGUUCAAUAUGUUUGUCCAAUGACUGGAUGAGCCCCUCCUGAGCAGUGAGUGGCCUUCAGAGUCAAGCUCACUCUCUCUUGCUCAUUGGAGCCCUGGUCUUUGUUUCCUUUCAGUGGCAUCAUAAUGGUCAGCAAGCACUUAGAGAGUAGAAACAGUGUGGCAGGCGCUGCUCUGAGCACUUUGUGUAGCCAUUUGCUUGGUACCUCCAUUUCCUCAUAAUGGGCAGUUCACGUACCCCCCCGUCGGGUAAGUACCAAGACCACACCGUCCAUACUGUUCGUCAUUGGUGGCACCACUAUUCAAACCCAGGCAGUCAGGCCCCAGAGUGUGUGCCCUGAGCCACUGCUCCAUGCUGCUGAGGAGCCAGAGGAAAGGGACAAAGCUGAAGAUGGAAGUCCCCAAGGCUUUCUCCAAAGGACUGAGCAAAACCCUCUCCCCAAGGCUUUCUCCAAAGGACUGAGCAAAACCCUCUCCAUUCUCAGAGGCUUCCACUCUGAUUUCUUAAACCGGGUAGACCAGGCAGCAUUCUCCCUGUUUGUGCCUUUCUGAAAGGUUAGAUUCUAACCCUGUUUAAAGCACUUCAUAAUGGAACCUGAUUAAAAACCUAAUAAAAUUAAAAAUGGGGUCAAGUCCAGAGAGAGAAUGAGGAGAGAACAGUUUAAGAACUGGAGGAAGCUCUUCUUAAUUUUGCUGUUACGCUGGUGAAUUCAUUUGCUGUUUGCACAGUUACCUUCAGAGGUCUGGGGCUGCAAAGGCAAGUGUGUACCCCCUCAGAACUGAGUGCUUCCCAGAGCCAGCCUAGGAGAGCACAACCCUGGGCCUUCCCAGUUCUUAGCCCCAGCCCCAUGCCUGGUCCACCCACCUCUGCCCACAGUGUGGCUUCUUUUCCAAAAUGCAUCCUGCCUCACCAAGAACAGCCUGCCCUCCCCCAGAACAUUCCAGACCCUCCACUUAGGUAGACUUGAUGCCACCUGGCCAGAAAGAGACUAAAGUGUCCAUCCCACCCCCCUUUUCUGAAAUCCUGACUUAGCGAUCUAUACCAUCUCAAGCUCUAUGUUCAGAAUCUUUAUCACCACGUUGGGGUCCUACAUUUGCAGCUAGCCACCUUCCAAAUUAGGAGAUCCUCUCAAGAGGCUCCAUCGCAGACAGCCAAAGGCCUUGGUGCUGCAGGGAGCUCGUCAGACACACACUUUUACAUCCACCAGCUUGUCCUCUCAACCUGGUCACCACCUGCUGACCCCGGUCAGCACUUCCGGGAAAAGCUGGGUUUAGAAAGGAAGUUUCCUGAGUAAAUGUUUAAUAUCAAAUAGAGCAGUCCUUCUCAUAGUGGGGUCCCUGGACCAGCAGCAUCAGCACCACCUGGGAACUUGUUAGACGUGCAAAUCCUCCAGGUCACCCCCACCCCAGCCCUGCUGAAUCAGAAACUCGGGGGCGAAGAUCAGGAGUCUGUGUGCUAACGCGUCCUCCAGGGGAUUCUCAAGUGCCUCCAGUUUGAGAACCACUAAAACAAGGUAAAAGUUGGGGGCGGGGGCAGUUUGAUGACAAAAUCAUCUUCAGCACUAAAUGAUAAAGGGCAUGGCAGCGGAGUGCCUAUGCCUGCCAUCAGCAGCAGCGUGAAAAGUUUAGGGCAUUUACUGAAUGUUGAAUAAUAAUUUUUUUAACUCACUUUUCUGAAUUUUAAAAGUAAAUCCCCAGGUGUUCUGAGCUGUGGACACCUGACCCUUCCCUUUUUCACCUGAAUAAACAUGCCCAGAACAUCCUUUUAUCCCUCACAACAGGGACAUUGGAAGAUAAAAGUUAUUUUCCACCAAUUUAAAGGCUUAGAUCUUGAUUCCCUAUUGAUUAAAUUCUUAACACAGUACAUGGCACAUUUUAACAGCUUCACAUUUCUUUGAGCUCACAACCCCAUUUAAGAACUAGGGCAAAGAGAAGUAACCUGCCCCAGGAGUGAGAGGUAUCUAUGCGCUGGAGCAGAAGUUGAGUCCCAUGUGUCCCCAGACCCAGGCUAGGAGCUGCUUUUGAUUGGCUAGCUCCAAAGGAACCAUUGGGGACCAGGAAAAUCAGCUGUGCCAGCUCAGAGCACCCUAUGAGCAAUUAAAAGCCCUUUGUGCUUGGCGGCUAACUGGGGGAAACUCCGACGCUAAAAUGUGAUGCCAUAAAGAUGAAACACACUGGGCAAUCAUUUCUUUUGAACUUGAAGAAUUUUGUUAUUCUGUUACAUUGAGGUGGGUUUGUUUUUUGAUGGUAGAGAGAAGAGUAGAUUUUCCAUGAAUGGUCUUUCAUAUAUUCUUUAUUCUUUGUGAAAGCCAUAGCCAAGGACAUUUUCAGCCCUACGUGUCUGUGUCGUGGUAGGUACUGGUCCCAGGGAAGUGGCUCCACUUUUUAAAGACAAUAUGGUAAUUUGAGGGUUUCUAUUCAUUGUGCUGCAAGGCAAGAGUUCCUGAAAACUACCUCUUUCCUACUGUAGUGAGACUUGGGAAUGCUGUGCACCCACACUUUGCUGAAAUUUCAAGAAGAGUUCCUGGGCCUCCCAGACAGAGUUGAAGCAGAAGGUUUUCACCAUAGUGUUGAUUUUUGAUAGAUUUUUAAAGGGGAAGGAGCAACAAAAAUCUGUUCCACCAUUCCCUCUGUCCCUUAAAAAGACACGUAAAGGGGCUGGCCCCGUGGCCGAGUGGUUAAGUUCGAGUGCUCCGCUUCGGUGGCCCAGGGUUUCGCCGGUUCGAAACCUGGGCGCGGACAUGUCACCGCUCAUCAGGCCAUGCUGAGACAGCGUCCCACAUGCCACAACUAGAAGGACCCACAACUAAAAAUACACAACUAUUUAUCAGGGGGCUUUGGGGAGGAAAAGGAAAAAUAAAAAGACGCAUAAAGAACCUCAUACAGACCAAAGAGUUUGAAAUUGCUAUUUUAAAAGGCAUAGCAGAAAAGAGAGUUUUGGUAGAAAAAUGGAUCAAAAUAAAUAAGCAGUGAAAUCUAAUUCUGACAUAGCUUCCAGCUGUCUGGCAUACUGGUUGAGUUUUGAAGACCUGGGCCACUGUUCCUCUUUGCUGGGGGUGACACACGGGCCAGAAGCAGGGAGACCUAAGGCUGAGGCCCAAAGGAAGGUGAAAGGUGGCCUCAGGUCUUGGAAGCUCUGCCGUCUUGGCAGAGCAGAUUGGGGCACAGCGGAGCCCAGGGCGGGGUGCUGGCCGGCUGUCCACCAGUCACAGUCUCAGGUGAAUGGAAUGAAGAGGGGGCCACUGGGAAACGCAGGAGCUGCUGCCACAACUGUGCGGGAUACCUGCGGCCUGCUCUGGGCCUCCUCUCCCUGGCCUUGUCCCCUUGCAACUCUGUUUUACAGUUGACGAAGCAGAGGUUCAGGAAGAGCCUGGUCCUCUCUUUCCAGAGCCUCAGGUCUUUAUGCUCCAGAACGAAGACAGUGACCUCACUACCCUGCUGGUAUUUGUGUACCAGGCACUGGGCGUGUUUCUUCUCAUUUAACCACAGAGCAGCCCUGGGAAAGGAAGCACUGUUAUCAUUCCCAUUUUUCAGGUGAGGAACAGGUUCAGAAAGGUCAAGAAACUUGCUUCAGGUCUCAAGCUGGCAAGUGGACUCUCUGGCUCCAGAGAGGUC
rnacentral:lncRNA from 1 species